AUUGAACGCUGGCGGCAUGCUUUACACAUGCAAGUCGAACGGUAACAGGGUGCUUGCACCGCUGACGAGUGGCGAACGGGUGAGUAAUGCAUCGGAAUGUACCGUGUAAUGGGGGCUAGCUCGGCGAAAGCCGGAUUAAUACCGCAUCCGCCCUGAGGGGGAACGUGGGGGUCCGAAAGGCCUCACGUUAUACGAGCAGCCGAUGUCGGAUUAGCUAGUUGGUGAGGUAAAGGCUCACCAAGGCGACGAUCCGUAGCGGGCCUGAGAGGGUGAUCCGCCACACUGGGACUGAGACACGGCCCAGACUCCUACGGGAGGCAGCAGUGGGGAAUUUUGGACAAUGGGCGAAAGCCUGAUCCAGCCAUGCCGCGUGUCUGAAGAAGGCCUUCGGGUUGUAAAGGACUUUUGUCCGGGAGCAAAUCCUAGGGGUUAAUAACCGCUGGGUCUGAGAGUACCGGAAGAAUAAGCACCGGCUAACUACGUG
rnacentral:rRNA from 1 species